ensembl:lncRNA
AUUUUUACUUGGAGGUUGUCUCCUUUGGGGACUUUUCUAGCAAGUUCUUUUCUGCUGAACAGGGGUCCAGGCUGGCUUUUUUUGCCUUACCCCAGUUGUGAGCUGGCAAACAUCUCCCAGAAGAUAAAUCUAAGCGGUCCUUGUGCACUUACAGAUACAUCAUAAUUUAGUCAAUACUGCAUGAGUUCUUUGGAUUACUUUGACACACUGAACAGAACUGCUGAAACCCUGCUCUUGGAAAGUACAUUGUGCUUCAUUCAUGUAGUCCUUCAAGUGACCAGUGAUUUAAUUGUCACUGUACAACAUCAUGGUGGUAUAUCAAACAGAUAUGCUAGGUUUUCUAUAAGUGUUCUAAUGCGUGAAACAAGUUCAAUCCCAGGGCUUUUAAGUUUCCAAAUUUCAUUAUUAAUAACUCCAAGAACAAAUAGAACAGGAAAAUUUUCUUUCUUUGAUGGCGGGACUUGCUAUCUUUGUCUUCUUGCAUGCUUUUUAAAGAUCAAUACAAAAUGAUAUAAGGACACAAUAUAGCAAGAGAUUAAAACUGCAUAUGAAUUGUCACUUUUCUUUUUGCCUGGAUAUCUCUAGGUGUGUUAGAGGAUUGUUGCUUAAAUAAAAACAAGAGACAGUGAUAUGCUACUAGUCCAACAUGAAUUAUUUUGCCUCUUUAAUUCACAAAUUCUGUACAUAUGAAGUUAAGUUGUCUGUCUGUUUGAUCCUCUGUCAUUCUGACACCCUUUGCCCUGCAGUUUUAACUAGAGUAGCUAGCAGACGACAUAACUUUUUACUGCAAGUUUCAUCAUUGUAUGGUGCAAAGGGCCUGUCAGAUGCUGAUGCCACUGGGAAAUUGCUACGAGAUAGAUGGAGAUUAUUUUUGUUUUACUUUUUUUAUGUCCCUUGUUCUAUUCUCCCUCUUACCUCCUUUUGCUUAAGGGGAUCACGGUGGAGGAAUUGUAAGUGUGUGAUGAAUCGAUCAGCGGGGUGCGAUAGCAGCAUUAAGCUAUCCAUCCAUCAGGACUGCAGUGCAUUUGUGCAAGUGGGUGCUGGUUGGCUGGUAUCUCAGGACUGUUCUCAAGUGAUGGAAAGGCUUUCACUUCUGAAUUCCAGACUCUGCUGUGUUAGAAAUCUUUCUAACUUGAAAUUGUUUCAGUGUAUAUAGAAAUAGUAAAUAAUAAGAUAAAAGAUUUGUUCUCAGGGGGAUAUUUCUGCAAAGCACAACAAGCUCCUUUUAUAUUGACUGUUUAAAAAAAGCCAUCCAUUUUUUAUUGUAAAGAGGUCACUGUGGACUCAAAGUAACAGAUGAAAAGAUCUCUUAUAGUAAUAUUUCAAUCUAGUUUAUUUGGCUGUGGUGUAUAGAAUGGAUUUAAAUUCCCAAGUACUGUAGGAGUUGUUUUAUCACUUUGGAGUUCUGUAUAUGUUGUCAAAUGACAUGCUGCCAAGAACAGAUAUUGAAUUGCAACUAUGGCUAUAGUAAUUGUAUGAAUCUUACUGGAGAUGUAUCUGAAAAUCUUGCAGCUGCAUGUCAAAACCUUUAUGUGGACAUUAGCCAAUGUUAAGGCUCCUGAGAAUAGCGAUAGCUGAGGAAGAGUGUGGGUAUCUUACAGAUAUGUGCCACCUUACUGAUUUCAUUAAUUCUCCCCGAACGCCUUAAAUGUGAUUUUUUUUUUGAACACUCAUACAUUAAGACCUCUGUGCUGAAUGUGAUUCCUUAAAAAGGGAAGUUCUUUUCAAAUGUCAGAGUUCAGUUUAUGCUGCAAAUUUUCCAAGGCUUGAACCAUUAGAAAACUGUUCAGGAUAAUAAGCUUAGUGUAAAAUCGAAACAAGAUAAUAAAGAUUGUCUUCGUGUCUUCCUUCAGUUAAGGAGAAAAAAAAAAAGGUCUGUAAACCAAACAGAAAUCCAAAAGACACUGUAUAAUAGAGAUGAGACUUCACAGUGAUGAACCAGAAAAGGGAUGAAAAGGCUUCCCUCUGAAUCUAAGAGCAGUCUUGACAGUGCUGACCUGCAAAGUGUCUCAUACUUCCAACAAAUGAAGUGAAUAUAGGCCUGAUGUGAACCUGUCAGAACAAAUUUUACCAGAAAUGAUUCUAGCGCAUCUUGUGUCUGGAAAAAUUCAGUGAUUUUUAAAACUCACUAAUAAGAGUAGCCAACAGAUGAUCCGGAUAAGCUGUCUGGUGACCUUGAUCCAGAUGAUGAAGGCACCCUUAAAAAGGCAACUGUAUUGGAAGAAGGCCAUUGUUUGUCUCUUUCCUAAACUCUUACUAGAGGAAUUAGAAUUCAGCGGUAGGACUACUAGUUGCUGUAGAAACCUAUUUAAGAAUUUCUGUUUUUUGCCAGAGGACAGGAAAUGAUCAGGGUGCAGAGAACCUCUUGUACCACAUGUGAGCCAAUCUUAAGGUGUUUUUCAGAAGUAGAAUAAUCUGAAAUAGAUGUGUGGUAAAAGGCAAAGUUCAUGUACAUUUAAGUGAGGUAUAUUUGUCUUACGGAAAAAUCAUGCCAUAAUGAUAAAAGAUGUAAGAGCUUUAAUCAGAAAUGUUUUUUUUUCUUACAGUAACAUAGUAUUCAUUCCAUAUUUAUUUCAACACUGAAAAUAUUCUGUAAUGACAUCAAAAGGUCUCUCUGUGCUACAGACUGUUAUCACAAGUAAGUCUUCAUUCAUAUGUGCUGGCUUAGGAUUAAUACUCAUUCAUUUGAAAGGGUUUUAUUUCAAGCAAACAAUGUAUCCAACAGAACAAAUUGAUUAAAAUCUUAAGAC